GAUGAACGCUAGCGGCAGGCCUAACACAUGCAAGUCGAGGGGUAACGGGGUGCUUGCACCGCCGACGACCGGCGCACGGGUGCGCAACGCGUAUACAAUCUGCCUUAUGCUGAGGGAUAGCCCAGAGAAAUUUGGAUUAAUACCUCAUGGUAUCGGAGGACGGCAUCGUUUUCUGAUUAAAGGUCACGGCAUAAGAUGAGUAUGCGUCCCAUUAGCUAGUUGGUGUGGUAACGGCACACCAAGGCAACGAUGGGUAGGGGUCCUGAGAGGGAGAUCCCCCACACUGGUACUGAGACACGGACCAGACUCCUACGGGAGGCAGCAGUGAGGAAUAUUGGACAAUGGGCGGAAGCCUGAUCCAGCCAUGCCGCGUGCAGGAAGACGGUCCUAUGGAUUGUAAACUGCUUUUAUACGGGAAGAAUAAGGGCUACGUGUAGCCCGGUGACGGUACCGUAAGAAUAAGGAUCGGCUAACUCCGUG
rnacentral:rRNA from 1 species